rnacentral:tRNA from 1 species
ACCCAGGUAGCUUAAUUAGAGCGUAACACUGAAGAUGUUCUGGUGAUCUUUGGAUCUUUGGGUA